rnacentral:rRNA from 1 species
AUGAACGCUGGCGGCGUGCCUAAUACAUGCAAGUCGAGCGAACAGACGAGGAGCUUGCUCCUCUGACGUUAGCGGCGGACGGGUGAGUAACACGUGGAUAACCUACCUAUAAGACUGGGAUAACUUCGGGAAACCGGAGCUAAUACCGGAUAAUAUAUUGAACCGCAUGGUUCAAUAGUGAAAGACGGUUUUGCUGUCACUUAUAGAUGGAUCCGCGCCGCAUUAGCUAGUUGGCAAGGUAACGGCUUACCAAGGCAACGAUGCGUAGCCGACCGAGAGGGUGAUCGGCCACACUGGAACUGAGACACGGUCCAGACUCCUACGGGAGGCAGCAGUAGGGAAUCUUCCGCAAUGGGCGAAAGCCUGACGGAGCAACGCCGCGUGAGUGAUGAAGGUCUUCGGAUCGUAAAACUCUGUUAUUAGGGAAGAACAAAUGUGUAAGUAACUAUGCACGUCUUGACGGUACCUAAUCAGAAAGCCACGGCUAACUACGUG